UACGGGGGGGGGCAAGCGUUGUUCGGAAUUACUGGGCGUAAAGGGCUCGUAGGCGGCCAACUAAGUCAGACGUGAAAUCCCUCGGCUUAACCGGGGGAACUGCGUCUGAUACUGGAUGGCUUGAGUUUGGGGAGAGGGAGUGCGGAAUUCCGAGGUGUAGCGGUAGAAAUGCGUAGAUAUCUGGAGGAACACCGGUGGCGAAGGCGGCAUCCUGGACCAACACUGACGCUGAGUGAGCGAAAGCCAGGGGGAGCAAACGGG
rnacentral:rRNA from 1 species